rnacentral:rRNA from 1 species
UACGUAGGUGGCAAGCGUUGUCCGGAUUUACUGGGCGUAAAGGGCGUGCAGGCGGUUUGUUAAGUCUAGGGUGAAAGCUCCCGGCUCAACUGGGAGAGGUCCUUGGAUACUGGCAGACUUGAGGAGGGUAGAGGAGAGUGGAAUUCCCGGUGUAGUGGUGAUAUGCGUAGAUAUCGGGAGGAACACCGGUGGCGAAGGCGGGUCUCUGGGCAACAACGUGACGCUGAGGAGCGAAAGCGUGGGGAGCGAACAGG